rnacentral:rRNA from 1 species
AUUGAACGCUGGCGGCAGGCCUAACACAUGCAAGUCGAGCGAGCGGCGGACGGGUGAGUAAUGUAUGGGGACUGCCCGAUAGAGGGGGAUAACUACUGGAAACGGUAGCUAAUACACCAUAUUAUCGGAUAACCCAUAUGGGAUUAGCUAGUAGGUGAGGUAAUGGCUCACCUAGGCGCCGAUCCCUAGCUGGUCUGAGAGGAUGAUCAGCCACACGGGGACGGAGACACGGCCCAGACUCCUACGGAGGCAGCAGUGGGGAAUAUUGCACAAUGGGCGCAAGCCUGAUGCAGCCAUGGCGCGUGUAUGAAGAAGGCCCUAGGGUUGUAAAGUACUUUCAGUCGGGAGGCGUUACCAGCAGAAGAAGCACCGGCUAACUCCGUGCCAGCCGCCGCGGUAAUAC